rnacentral:rRNA from 1 species
GCUGGCGGCGUGCUUAACACAUGCAAGUCGAGCGGAAAGGCCCUUCGGGGUACUCGAGCGGCGAACGGGUGAGUAACACGUGAGUAACCUGCCCUGGACUUUGGGAUAACCCUCGGAAACGGGGGCUAAUACCGGAUACGACACACCGAUGCAUGUUGUGUGUGUGGAAAGUUUUUCGGUCUGGGAUGGGCUCGCGGCCUAUCAGCUUGUUGGUGGGGUGAUGGCCUACCAAGGCGACGACGGGUAGCCGGCCUGAGAGGGCGACCGGCCACACUGGGACUGAGACACGGCCCAGACUCCUACGGGAGGCAGCAGUGGGGAAUAUUGCACAAUGGGCGGAAGCCUGAUGCAGCGACGCCGCGUGAGAGAUGACGGCCUUCCGGUUGUAAACCUCUUUCAUCACGGACGAAUCGAGAGUGACGGUACCUGCAUA